rnacentral:rRNA from 1 species
UUUGGUGGUUAUUCCGAUGGUGUUCACACCCGAUCCCAUUCCGAACUCGGAAGUUAAGCCCAUCAGGGCCGAUGGUACUUGGACCGUAGGGUCCUGGAAGAGUAGGUUGCUGCCAAAU